rnacentral:rRNA from 1 species
ACACGGACCCCAGGAGUCUAGCAUGUGCGCGAGUCAUUGGGACUUAGCGAAUCCUAAAGGCGUAAUGAAAGUAAAAGAUAAUAUUAAGUUGUCAAAGGGCAGAUGGGUAGUGUUACGACACUGCCCCGCAUGCCCGGGGCGUCCCAAUCUCAUUGCGAGAUAGGGCGCACCAAGAGCGUACACGCUGGGACCCGAAAGAUGGUGAACUAUGCCUGGUCAGGACGAAGUCAGGGGAAACCCUGAUGGAGGUCCGUAGCGAUUCUGACGUGCAAAUCGAUCGUCGGAACUGGGUAUAGGGGCGAAAGACUAAUCGAACCAUCUAGUAGCUGGUUCCCUCCGAAGUUUCCCUCAGGAUAGCUGGCACUCGUUUUGCGAGUCUCAUCCGGUAAAGCGAAUGAUUAGAGGCAUUGGGGUCGAAACGGCCUCAACCUAUUCUCAAACUUUAAAUGGGUGAGAUCUUCGGCUUGUUUGAACGUAAAGCCGUAAGUAAUCGGAUCAGAGUGCCAAGUGGGCCACUUUUGGUAAGCAGAACUGGCGCUGUGGGAUGAACCAAACGCCGAGUUAAAGCGCCUAAAUCGACGCUUAUGGGAUACCAUGAAAGGCGUUGGUAACUU